AGAGUUUGAUCCUGGCUCAGGAUGAACGCUGGCGGCGUGCUUAACACAUGCAAGUCGAACGAAGCACUUUAUUUGAUUUCUUCGGAAUGAAGAUUUUGUGACUGAGUGGCGGACGGGUGAGUAACGCGUGGGUAACCUGCCUCAUACAGGGGGAUAACAGUUGGAAACGACUGCUAAUACCGCAUAAGCGCACAGGGUCGCAUGACCUGGUGUGAAAAACUCCGGUGGUAUGAGAUGGACCCGCGUCUGAUUAGCCAGUUGGUGGGGUAACGGCCUACCAAAGCGACGAUCAGUAGCCGACCUGAGAGGGUGACCGGCCACAUUGGGACUGAGACACGGCCCAAACUCCUACGGGAGGCAGCAGUGGGGAAUAUUGCACAAUGGGGGAAACCCUGAUGCAGCGACGCCGCGUGAGCGAAGAAGUAUUUCGGUAUGUAAAGCUCUAUCAGCAGGGAAGAAGAAAUGACGGUACCUGACUAAGAAGCACCGGCUAAAUACGUGCCAGCAGCCGCGGUAAUACGUAUGGUGCAAGCGUUAUCCGGAUUUACUGGGUGUAAAGGGAGCGCAGGCGGUACGGCAAGUCUGAUGUGAAAGCCCGGGGCUCAACCCCGGUACUGCAUUGGAAACUGUCGGACUAGAGUGUCGGAGGGGUAAGUGGAAUUCCUAGUGUAGCGGUGAAAUGCGUAGAUAUUAGGAGGAACACCAGUGGCGAAGGCGGCUUACUGGACGAUUACUGACGCUGAGGCUCGAAAGCGUGGGGAGCAAACAGGAUUAGAUACCCUGGUAGUCCACGCUGUAAACGAU
rnacentral:rRNA from 1 species